UGGGGAAUUUUGCGCAAUGGGCGAAAGCCUGACGCAGCAACGCCGCGUGGAGGAUGAAGGCCCUUGGGUUGUAAACUCCUGUCAGCGGGGAAGAAAUGCUCCGACCUAAUACGUCGGGGAGUUGACUGUACCCGCAGAGGAAGCCCCGGCUAACUCUGUGCCAGCAGCCGCGGGUAAUACAGAGGGGGCAAGCGUUAUUCGGAAUUAUUGGGCGUAAAGGGCGCGUAGGCGGCAUGGCAAGUGGAAGGUGAAAUCCCUCGGCUCAACUGAGGAACUGACCUUCCAAACUGCUUUGCUUGAGUCCGGGAGAGGUGAGUGGAAUUCCCAGUGUAGCGGUGAAAUGCGUAGAUAUUGGGAGGAACACCAGUGGCGAAGGCGGCUCACUGGACCGGAACUGACGCUGAGGCGCGAAAGCGUGGGGAGCAAACGGGAUUAGAUACCCCGGUAGUCCACGCUGUAAACGAUGAGUGCUUGGUGUAGCGGGUAUCGACCCCUGCUGUGACCG
rnacentral:rRNA from 1 species